AUUGAACGCUGGCGGCAUGCCUUACACAUGCAAGUCGAACGGCAGCACGGGUGCUUGCACCUGGUGGCGAGUGGCGAACGGGUGAGUAAUACAUCGGAACAUGUCCUGUAGUGGGGGAUAGCUCGUCGAAAGCCGGAUUAAUACCGCAUACGAUCCACGGAUGAAAGCGGGGGACCUUCGGGCCUCGCGCUAUAGGGUUGGCCGAUGGCUGAUUAGCUAGUUGGUGGGGUAAAGGCCUACCAAGGCGACGAUCAGUAGCUGGUCUGAGAGGACGACCAGCCACACUGGGACUGAGACACGGCCCAGACUCCUACGGGAGGCAGCAGUGGGGAAUUUUGGACAAUGGGCGAAAGACUGAUCCAGCAAUGCCGCGUGUGUGAAGAAGGACUUCGGGUUGUAAAGCACUUUUGUCCGGAAAGAAAUCCUUGACUCUAAUACAGUCGGGGGAUGACGGUACCGGAAGAAUAAGCACCGGCUAACUACGUG
rnacentral:rRNA from 1 species